rnacentral:rRNA from 1 species
AGAGUUUGAUCCUGGCUCAGGACGAACGCUGGCGGCGUGCUUAACACAUGCAAGUCGAACGGUGAAGCCCUUCGGGGUGGAUUAGUGGCGAACGGGUGAGUAACACGUGAGCAACCUGCCUUUGGCUCUGGGAUAACUCCGGGAAACCGGGGCUAAUACUGGAUAUGACGCAUUCGGGUAUCCGGGUGUGUGGAAAGUUUUUCGGCCAGAGAUGGGCUCGCGGCCUAUCAGCUUGUUGGUGGGGUGAUGGCCUACCAAGGCGACGACGGGUAGCCGGCCUGAGAGGGCGACCGGCCACACUGGGACUGAGAUACGGCCCAGACUCCUACGGGAGGCAGCAGUGGGGAAUAUUGCGCAAUGGGCGGAAGCCUGACGCAGCGACGCCGCGUGGGGGAUGAAGGCCUUUGGGUUGUAAACCUCUUUCAGCAGGGAAGAAGCGUGAGUGACGGUACCUGCAGAAGAAGCACCGGUUAACUACGUGCCAGCAGUUGCGGUAAUACGUAGGGUGCAAGCGUUGUCCGGAAUUAUUGGGCGUAAAGAGCUCGUAGGCGGUUUGUCGCGUCUGCUGUGAAAACUCGGGGUUUAACUCCGGGCCUGCAGUGGGUACGGGCAGACUAGAGUGCGGUAGGGGAGACUGGAAUUCCUGGUGUAGCGGUGAAAUGCGCAGAUAUCGGGAGGAACACCAGUGGCGAAAGCGGCCUCCUGGGCCGUUCCUGACACUGAGGCGCGAAAGCGUGGGGAGCGAACAGGAUCAGAUACCCUGGUAGUCCACGCCCUAAACUGUGGAGACUAGGUACAGGGAGUAUCGACCCUUCCUGCGCCGCAGCUAACGCGUUAAGUCUCCCGCCUGGGGACUACGGUCGCAAGACUAAAACUUAAAGGAAUUGAUGG